AACGAACGCUGGCGGCAUGCUUAAUACAUGCAAGUCGAACGAGAAAGCAUCUUCGGAUGUGAGUAGAGUGGCGCACGGGUGCGUAACACGUAGGUGACCUACCUUUUAGGUCGGGGACAACAUCGGGAAACUGAUGCUAAUACCGGAUGUGGUAAUUAAUUUGAAAGAAAAUUACUAAAGACAGCCUCUGCAUAUGCAGUUGCUAGAAGAAGGGCCUGCGGAACAUUAGCUUGAUGGGUGGGGUAAUGGCUUACCAUGGCUACGAUGUUUAGGGGGUCUGAGAGGAUGAUCCCCCACACUGGAACUGAGACACGGUCCAG
rnacentral:rRNA from 1 species